GAGGUAGUGGCUCAGUGGUAGAGCACUUGCCUAGCAUGUGUGAGGCACUGGGUUCCAUCCCCAGCACCACA
rnacentral:tRNA from 1 species